CCUACGGUGGGCUGCAGUGAGGAAUAUUGGUCAAUGGGCGCGAGCCUGAACCAGCCAAGUCGCGUGAGGGAAGACGGCCCUACGGGUUGUAAACCUCUUUUUCCGGGGAGCAACAGGCGCCCCGUGUGGCGCCCCUGAGAGUACCCGGAGAAAAAGCAUCGGCUAACCCCGUGCCAGCAGCCGCGUGAAUACGGGGGAUGCGAGCGUUAUCGGGAUUUAUUGGGUUUAAAGGGUGCGUAGCGGGAGCGUUAAGUCAGUGGUAAAAUGGAGGGGCUAAACCCCUUCCCGCCAUUGAAACUGGCGCUCUUGAGUGGAAGAGAAGUAUGCGGAAUGCGUGGUGUAGCGGUGAAAUGCAUAGAUAUCACGCAGAACCCCGAUUGCGAAGGCAGCAUGCCGGCUUCCGACUGACGCUGAAGCACGAAAGCGUGGGGAUCGAACAGGAUUAGAUACCCUUGUAGUC
rnacentral:rRNA from 1 species